rnacentral:lncRNA from 1 species
GGUUUUCUAUGUUUUAGAUGAUAACGUUCGGUCACACACAGCAAGCCAAGAAGCAGAUGUUGUUGAUGUAUUACAUCAGAUGAUUUUGUUGUUUCUAGUGUCAUGAAUGAAUGAAUGUUUAGUGUACAUACACUACAGCAGAGUGUUUCUGCACAUGAUCACGCUGUAUUUACAGUGGAUCUGUUUUACAGGACAGUGAUGACGCGGAGCUGAAGGGAGCUUGUGGAUUCACUCCUCAUCCUCAUCUGAAGGGUGAUGAGGGGUUUGAUGAUCUGAAGGGAGCGAUUGGUUACGACUUCAAGGGAGACACGUUACUGAAAGCUGAAGCGGGACAGAGUUACUCACCCAACCAUGUUCAGAGUCCAUAUUUUAAUGACUUUACGAGUCCAGCAUGGGAUUCAAAGGCAGAUCUGGAGACGGACGUCCACAAAGCCUCGGAUCUCUUCACAGCUUCAGACGCCAGUGAGAGACAUCAGAAGAAAUCAAUAAAGUUUAAAGUCCUUCGCCUGCAUCGCAGACAGUCAAAGAGUUUUGAAGAUCCUGAGAUCAAGCAGAGCAAAGAUUCAGAGGUAAACAAACCUGUCAUUUCACUUCCUCACAAUUCAAAUACUUAUCAAAUUUUCACGGUCUUAUUUAUGUUUUUAUGUUAUUUCUUAAUCUUUUUUUUAAUUUAUUUCCCUUUAGAUUUUGUUUCUUUAAUUUCCAAAUAUUACAUUUAUUGUUUACUGUCUGCACUAAAAAAAAGAAAAGAAACAAUUUUCACUUAGUAUUUAUAUAUAUAUUUUUUUUUCUAUUUUUUUUCUUUAAUUUCCAAAUUGUGUGAAUUAUAUUUAAUGUUUACUGUCUGCAUUGAAAAAAUGGUGUAGAAAUACUUUUUAUUCAGUAUUUAUUUAUUUGUUUGUUUAUAAUUUUUUAUUAUAUAUAUAUAUAUAUAUAUAUAUAUAUAAACACU